GCCGGGCGCGGUGGCUCACGCCUGUAAUCCCAGCACUGGGAGGCCGAGGCGGGUGGAUCACCUGAGGUCAGGAGUUUGAGACCAGCCUAACCAACAUGGUGAAAACCCGUCUCUA
ensembl:misc_RNA Metazoa_SRP Metazoan signal recognition particle RNA